CACAACAGAAUACUUAUGUGAUAAUGAAUCAAAUCGAUUAUUCCGCCCGUAUAUCAGGGCUACGUGCACGAUAAUUUAGUUGUUUAGGUAAACUGUUUUAUAUAAAGACUCGGUACUUGCAAUCUGUAUGUAUGAAAACAAUAAUCUCGUGCAAAGCUAUAGAUGAUAAGUCUUGUAUUGUAUACUUAAGGUUAUGCAGACGGCCGUACUAAAAACAGUUUGUUAAGAUAUACAGCGGGAAUAGUGUUUUGAUAAAUAUCCAUUUAUUUUGCAACCUUAAAAUAACCAUGUUAUUUUAGAAAAGACAUCAACUAGUUUUGACAAUCAAAAUGUGCAGCAUGUAUAAUGUUACCACACAAAAUAAGCUAGACGAUGUUUCCGGAUGAACCAACUGAUGAACACAGUGUGAUCGCUGUAUAAAACAUUCUCACAAUAAGCACUUAGGUGUCCUUAUAAUCAUUUGUCUGUGACCUUUCAUUCGAUUUAGUAAUGUUCUGACAACAUCACCAGUAGGGCCCCGAAGGCGCUGACUUUAGACGCCACAUAAUUUAACUGUUAAUAGCAGGUAUUAAUAACAAUGUUACACAAUAGACUUAUGAGGAAAACUGUCCUUAUACCUCGCAGCCCUGUUUUAGACAAACGACAGUCAUUUUCGAACUCAGCCGAAAUUUUUAUACUAACGCAAUAACUUUAAUCUUGUGAGUGGCUAUCAUUAUGCAUGGGUCGACAUUGUGAUUUGUAGAGGGUUAACCCUUGCCACAUAAGAAAACUUCACCCCUUAAUUGCAGACAUGUUUUAAAAUUGGCAGGAACCAUAUCACACUCGGUAGACAUAUCAUUAGAUUAGAAGUAACGCACCUUUACAUCUGAAAUAUGCAAUUUUUGUCAUUUUAGCAAUAAAUAUGACAUUUAUAUUUGAGCUACAGACACAUGGUUUCCCCAUAACACGCCGCCUUUAAAAAAUCGCAUUUGUAGUGAGAAAAUAAAAAAGUGGAACCCCGCGUCGAAAUUCCAAAUUAAACCUUAUAGGAGUAGGAACAUCGAUGGUAUCGAAUAUUUCGUACUUUAUUGAGUUAAAAGUAAGUUAUGUGCAAUCCAUGAGGAGCGGUCAUGCUUCAUUAUAAAGUAUACAAUUUGUUAAUAUUUUGAAGUAAUAUGUGUUCGAAAAAGCUGGGAAAAAGAUCUGGUAAACAGAAAUAACACGUACAUCGUAACAUUAACUUCUGUAAUGCUUCAAUAUUGUCACAUUUAGUACCUCUUUUACUCUUGCCUUUACAGUAUACUGAAUUUUACAUUCAAUUUUAUGUUUAUUUAUAAUGAUCAAAUGUCUUCUUUUUGUAAGACAUUGUUUUUUUGUUCAAGAAAAUCGUUUUAAAUAAUCAUAGCAGAUAUAAAUUCACACAUUAAUAAAUAUACCGAUAUAUCCGUCAUAGACAGCGUCUGUAACGUUUGAUUCAGAAGUACGUGUAAAAGUUAACUAUGAAAUCGCUAUAAUUCUCUUUUAAAGAAGGUUAAGUAUUAACAUAUGAAGUACACUUUUGAUUUAACUUUUAUUCUUAUCUGGAUUUGCUAGUUUUACAAACCAAAUUAAUUAGUUGAAGAUUAUUAUCAUUAUUAUUAUUAAUAUUUUUAAAUUUUCUUUUUGAAUGUUCAUAUAAUAUUUUUCUUUGCUUGUUUUCUCGUAAAAUAAUAAUAAUCAUAGAUAAACUUAUUUAAGAUAGAUUUGGUGGUAAUCUUGCAUUGUGUUUGUGUUGGAUACAUUAAAAAUAAAAUAACA